GUGCCAGCAGCCGCGGUAAUACGUAGGAGGCAAGCGUUAUCCGGAUUUAUUGGGCGUAAAGAGCGCGUAGGCGGCUUAAUAAGUCGGAUGUGAAAUCUCCCGGCUUAACCGGGAGGGGUCAUUCGAUACUGUUAGGCUAGAGGACAGCAGAAGGAGAUGGAAUUCCCGGUGUAGUGGUGAAAUGCGUAGAUAUCGGGAGGAACACCAGUGGCGAAGGCGGUCUUCUAGGCUGUUACUGACGCUGAGGUGCGAAAGCGUGGGGAGCGAACAGGAUUAGAUACCCUGGUAGUCCACGCUAUAAACUGUGGACACUAGGUAUGGGGAGUAUCGACCCUCUCUGUGCCGAAGCUAACGCUUUAAGUGUCCCGCCUGGGGACUACGGCCGCAAGGCUAAAACUUAAAGGAAUUGACGGGG
rnacentral:rRNA from 1 species